rnacentral:rRNA from 1 species
UACGGAGGAUCCGAGCGUUAUCCGGAAUUAUUGGGUUUAAAGGGUGCGUAGGCGGCCAGAUAAGUCAGGGGUGAAAGUCGGCAGCUCAACUGUCGCAGUGCCUUUGAUACUGUUUGGCUUGAAUUCGGUUGAAGAUGGCGGAAUGAGACAAGUAGCGGUGAAAUGCAUAGAUAUGUCUCAGAACCCCGAUUGCGAAGGCAGUUAUCUAAGCCGUUAUUGACGCUGAUGCACGAAAGCGUGGGGAGCAAACAGG